GGCUGUUUGGUCAAGUGGCAUGGUUCUUCCAUGGUGGAAGAAGUCCUGGGUUCGAUUCACAGAACAGCUC